rnacentral:lncRNA from 1 species
CGAGAUGCAGGAGAGGUUACACAUGCUGCAAGAUCUGACGCAGGUCACGCUGAAGCUGCGGAUGGAGUUUGAGACGGAGGCCGACCUGCGGAGGAGGGCAGCGGAUGAAUGUGAAGAGCAGAAGAGGCAGAGGAUGGAAGCAGAGCGGUUAGUGCGAGACUUCCAGAACCUCUGUGAGAAACAGGCGGAUGAUUACAGGACCACCGUCGGCAGCCUUCAGGUGGAGAUCAGAGAUUUAGUAACUAAGUUACGAGAGCUUGAGGCACAGGAUGUGGAAAGACAAUGUGAAAAACACCUGAAGCAGGUGUCUUCUCUGGAGAAUGAAGUUUGCCAGCUGAAGGCUGUCCUUCAGGAGGAGCAGCAGAAGUCCGGGCAGCUGUCCAUGACCAUGCAGAUGGAAACUGACCAGGCCAGAGCUUUGGUCCAGUCCCAGAACGUCCAGCUUCAGCAAGAUGCAGAAGAGCAGAGGAGGAUGUUUGAGGAGCUGCAGGGCAUCCAGAACAUCCUCAGCACCACCAAACAAGAGCUGCUGUCCCAGAGGAGAAACAACACACGACUGCACAACAUCACUGACGCCGAGCAGGAAAACCUCAGGCUCCAACAAAACACCGAAGACUUGAGGAACAGACUAACCAGCAGUCAACAGGAGACUGACUCUCUGAGGACAGAACUUCAGCUAGCUCUAGUUAGCGUGGACACUGAGAGGAGGUACUAAACUAAACUAAAAAUGAAUAAAAACU